CCCAGGGAAGGACAGCAAAACUGGGAAAGGUCUGGAACACAAGUACUAUGAGAAAUGGCUGAGGGGGCUGGAAUGAUUUAGCCUGGAGGAAAGGAGGAUCAAGGAAAACGUUAUUGCUUUCUACAGCUGCCUACAAGGAGGUUGUAACAAUGUGAAGGUUUGUGUAUCCUCCCAGGAAUGAUGUGGGAAAAUGAGAGAAAAUGGUCUCAGGCUGUGCCAGGGAAGUUGUAGAUUGGAUAUUACAAAAAAAUUUCUUCUUCAAAAGGAUUAUUAAGCACUGGAACACUCUUGAUGCAGUCACCACCCAGCAGGUGUCUUUUUCCGAGGUGUCUUAAAUGACACUGCUUUAAGGGAGUUACAACUGAGUUCAAGAUUCUACAAAGUUUAUUAAAGUGCCAUUUUCUUUGGAAUUAAAAACAUUAGUAUGUUGGCAGUUGCAAGGGCAGAGAAGUUCUACAUAAGCAUCUCAAACCUUCUUAAUAAAUCGAGGCCUGAUCAGAGGUGCUGCUCGACCAAGGUCCCUGGGUGUUGACACAGAAUUGUGCGUGUGAAGUUCACAUUGCAGGAACAGAGUCCAAGUAUAAUUUUAAGAACACCUCAGAAACCUGAUGCUACACGGUGUUUCCACUCUACUGCCAUUUGGCCUUUGUGGUUCCAUUCCUUCCACUACACAAGGACAGAAUUAUAAGAUGCAAAAUCUUGCAUCUCAGCAGGUUUGCUCUGUCUCUAAUAAGAUAGAAGGGAAAACCCUGUCAAGACUAAUACCUAAAAUGAAAAUGAUACAGUACUCUGCAUGACAGCUAGCCUUUAAGAUACAGACAUCAGUCUUCUGGUCCAGAAUAUAAAAGCCAGUGAGCCUUCAUCAGUGAACAGAGCAAUUUCACAGAAUCGUGGAAUGACAGAAUGGUUCAAGCCAAGGUGCGUGCAAAUUCAAGGCCAAUGUAAUUCCAUCUGAUACAGGGCAGAGUCCUCCCUGCUCAGUGCCCCACUCAGAAGGAGCAGACACUAAUACAGAAUUCUAAAUGUCCAAUUUGUUUUAUGAGAAGACCUGAAACAGGACAAGUUUAAGUUCAAUAGCCAGUGAAUGCAAUAUUUUUUUCCUAUGAUGAUAUUUUUUAAAAUUACAUCUUUGAAGCCCAGACACAUGGGAAAGCCAUUAAGGUAAAACCUAUUGUAAGCUCCUAAAAUGGAAAAAUAUCAACCAAGGAAAACAGAGAAAAUUGAUGCUUCUUCUCCCAAUAGUAAUUAACUUGAUUUCACUGAAAGGGAAAAUAAUUUUAAAAAAAAUAAUAAGACCAUGUCAUCUUGCUAUUCUUGUGAAAGAAAAUGAAAUAACAAUAUUAGUUUUUACUUUAAUUUUCAGAUGAAAAUUAUUUCUAUAUUGAUUUUUUUACUUUUCACUUGAAUAAUCUCUCAGAGAUUUUUUUUUAUUAUUUUUAUACCAUAUUUUUUAUUGCUCUACUAGGAAUCAUACCAAGAUUUAUACUUUGUUUAAUAUUGACCUAAAAAUAGUGCAGUAUUUUAAUAUCUAGGAAAGCAAAAUGGGUAACAUAAAUAUUUUUCUUGAUAUUAAAUGUGCAACAGUUCCCUUUCAAAAAUGCAUCAAUCACUCUCACUCAAAACCAGUUUAAGCAGUUGGACAUCAAAACACUUAAGGUCCAUUUAUUGCUUAUUACUUUAGCUAUGUUUGACUGAACAGUCACAUUAGAAUUACUAUGGGAAAGAUAUGGUCUUUUCCUCUUUCUUGCACUGGUGCACAUCUGAUUGCUGUUAGAAAAAACAGACACAGCAGAAAAUUACUCACUUUUUCAUUUUGUUUUUCUUUUGCUAUUUAGCCUCCUGAGAUGGUUCACAGUAGGAUCAAAUAAGAAGCAGCUGAGUUGCUCAUAAAAAACAGCCACAUUUAUGGGAAUAUUAAGCAGAAACCAAGGAGCAAACAGUAUUUUAUAUUUUUAUUAUGGUAACAGAAACAUUCCUGCAAUGCUAAAGCUCACUGUGAUUUUUAUCAAAUCUCCUUCACACGGAGAAUCAUGUUUGACCAGGAACAUGAUGACUAAACUCACAUGAAAAGUUAAGUUUGGAAGUUGAGUUCUUCCACAAUAAAACUGGAAUAUCUGGUUCUAGAA